GUCGUCUUGGUGGAUUUGAUUCCUUCAAAAAUUAUUCCAAUGACGGCAACUCGGCUCUUGACUCGUUCCGGCGGUAUUCACGUGACUCAGUGGGCCAUGGCGAUAAGUUUUCCACUUAUGCCCGAGACACAAACGUUCCUGACCAGAGCUUCAAUACCUACGGCACAAAAGCCACCGGAGGCACCGGAGACUUCACAAGUUACGCCCAAGACGUCAAUGUACCCACCAUGAGAUUCACCUCAUACUCCGACGACGUCAAUGGGCGUGUCCAGACCUUCAAAUCUUACUCCGAGAACGCAAACGCCGGCGAUCAAUCGUUCACUAGUUACGGGAAAAAGGGUAACGGCGCCGAGAA
rnacentral:lncRNA from 1 species